rnacentral:rRNA from 1 species
UACGGAGGGUGCGAGCGUUGUCCGGAAUCACUGGGCGUAAAGGGCGCGUAGGCGGCUGUGUAAGUCACCCGUGAAAUCCCGGUGCUCAACGCCGGGGCUGCGGGUGAGACUGCACGACUAGAGCUCGGUAGAGGCGAGUGGAAUUCCCGGUGUAGCGGUGGAAUGCGUAGAUAUCGGGAAGAACACCGGUGGCGAAGGCGGCUCGCUGGGCCGAUGCUGACGCUGAGGCGCGAAAGCGUGGGGAGCAAACAGG